UCAUCAUUAAAAUAACUAAUCGCAGCAUUAAAUAAUUUUAAUAAAAUUUAAUUAAACUUAUUUUACUAUGAUAAAUAUUAUUCAAUAUUUACUAUGCAUGAAAAACACUAAUCAUAAUCUUAAAUAUCUUAAUUACUCUCUAAUUAAAGAAAACGAAUACAUACCUCUUGAUUAGAAAGUUCUUCCUCUUGAUCUUUCCAAAUUAGCCUCAAUUGAAUUCACAAAUCGUUAUUUUAUAGAGUUUAGGAGAGAAAAGAAAAGUUUGAGAGAGAGUUUAAGAGAGUAUAAUGAAAUAGGGGAGAGAAGAUUGGUUUAAAUAGGAGGAGAAAGGGCUCCAACGGUCAAUUUGACCGUUGGAGCACUGUAGCACUGCUACAGUGUGGUAACGGUCGAUUUCGACCGUUACCGAGUGGUACCGGUUGAUUUCGACCGUUACCGAGUGGUACCGGUCGAAAUCGGUCGUUACCGAGUGGUACCGGGCGGUAACGGUCGAAAUUUCGACCGUUACCGCCCGAUAUUAGGGUUUUUGGGUGUACCGCCCGGUAGCGGGCGGUCCGCGUACCGGUCACCUAUCGGACCGGUACGUACCGCCCGUACCGGGCGGUACGAUUCGGUAAGUCAAUCCUUGCCUCCAACUUUCAUAGUUUGCAGGUUAUAGUAGUCGGCUAAUGCAUGCACUGUAUGUAUGAUAGGUCCAACAUCAUCAUCAGAAUCCAUACCUUUAUGAUCGGAGUCCACAUUGUUAGCUUCUAGGUCCUCUCCAAUUGGUUCAAUCAUCAGAAGUUGCCAUUAUUUACAUCGGUGCUCCCUACUCCACUUUUUAUUAUAGUGCUAGUACAAACCCUUCGCUGAUCUUUCCUUGAGUUCUUCUCGGGUUAGCCUUCGGGUGUUAGGGUUUCGGUUGGGAAUAGAUGAGGGCGGGUGGCUUGUUGUUCAUCUGUUUGUUGUCACUUCUGUUUCGACGAUUUUCUCUACUGAUUUUUUCCUUAUGUAAACGUGCAAAUGAUAUUGCAGCGAUCAUAGUGCGGGGUUGACAAGCCUUAACUUCACACCUAAUAUAUGGAUUAAGUCCUUCGAUGAAUGUACCCACCAAUUGUCGUUCAGACCAAUCUCUGGCUUGAUUGGACAAUCGUUCAAACCUGCUCUGAUAUUCCAAUACUGUAGAAAUCUGACGAAUUUUGACGAGCUGUCCAUCAACAUUUUCAUAUUCAGAUGGUCCAAAGCGAACAAGAAGCCCUCUCUUGAAUUGCUCCCACGAGGGGACUCCAUGAUAAGUUUCGUACCAAUCAUACUAUUGGAUUGCAUCCUCAUCUAGUUGGAUUGAGGUUAUUUCCACCUUGGAUUCUUCUGGGGUUCUGUGAAAACGAAAAUUUUUUUUGCCCUAGGGAUCCAAUUGGUCGGAUCCCUAUCUUCCCAUCUUGGAAAUUCCACUUUAACACAUGGGUAGCUUUUGUCAUAUUCUUGGGGCCAUUUUCCUAUAUCUCUAGAUCUAUUUAAUGCAGAACUUGAACUUCCAACUUGUUGAAACUUGUUUAAGUUCUCCAAUAGGCUCUUUUUGAAAUCGUUAAGGGUUUCUUGUAGCUAGUUCUCAAUUCUGGUUUCCAAUGCUUCAAUUUGUGCUUUCACUGAGUUAUCAGUAGCCAUUGCAUAAGAUUGCAAAUAUGUAAUCCCUAGUUCUUGUUUCUGAUGUCUGGUCAAGGGCAUCAGCACUGUCGACGCGAAGCUGCCGAGGAAGCGAACGCCGAUGGCAGUGCUACGGUCGCUGCGAGGAGGAAGAGUUGCUGCCUUGUUUUUGUCGCUGCGUGGGGUGAGAGCGUCGGGGGAUGGAAGGUGACGAUGUUGGUGUGGCUGUAGCUACUGCGACCCAUGGGAGUGAUUGCUGAGCAACCGGGGUUGAGGCUGGGGUGAUGGCAAUCGGUGGUUGCGGUAGAGGAUGCAGAGCAAGGGGGAGGCGACGUUGAAGUGGUCGGGGUUGAGGCUGCGGUGGUGGCAACUGGCGAUUGCAGCAAAGGAUGCAGAGCAAAGGGGGAGGUGACGGUGUUGUGAAUGCCGGUGGAGAAGAGGAAUCAGUGGUGGUGCGGCUGGGAACAAGGGCAAUCGGUGAGUUGCCCUGUUUCUACAACAGAGGAUGUAGAGCAAGGGGGAGGCGUCGUUGAAGCGGUCGGGGUUGAGGCUGCGAUGGUGGCAACCGGCGGUUGUGGCAAAGGUUGCAGAGCAAGGGGGGAGGCGGCGGUGUUGUGAAUGUCAAUGGAGAAGAGGAAUUGGUGGUGGCGCGGUUGGGAAUAAGGGCAAUCGGUGAGUUGCCCUAUUUCGGUCGCUGCGAGGAAGUUGCUGCCCAAGGUCGAGAGGCAGUGGUGGUGGCACGGCUGGAAGUAGUGUCACCAAGGGUCGACGAGGGGGGAGGUUUGUUGACCGGAAAACUGUUGAAUCUCGGAUUUUGAUGAUGAAGUCAAUUGUCAUUUGUUAUCUAAUCUAUAUGUUGAGAUAAGUGUGCAGGAUUAACUACGAUGAAAGUAAGAUAUGCAGCAGGAGUUGCGCCGGAAUCAAGACAAUGAUCACGUUGGGAGUUCGAGAGUUCGACGGAAGUUCGGACAGUCGUCGGAGGUUCUGCGGGAACAAAUCCGAGAAGUCCAUGAGCUUGCCAAAGAAGCUCGUCGGAACUCGCCAAGUGGAUCGUCGCAAGUCCAGGAGUUUGCCGGAAGUCCGCAGGAGCAUCACCGAGGGUUUAUCGGAUGAUCGACGGAAGUUCGCCGGAAGCUCGUCGGAAGAAGCGAUUGACGCACCGGAGCAAGUUGUAGUAAAUGUCUUAGGAAAUAUCGUAGUUAGCACAAUGAUUAAGUUGGAAAUGGGAGGUGAUCCCAUUAACUUAAUCUUGGGGCAAUUGGGCCCUUGAAAAACCCAAAUUGGGCCGAAUGAUCAACCCAUUCGGACCCUGAUUUCUGCUAGGCGGUUGAAUCGCCCCAGCCAGGCGGUGGCACCGCCUGGGCUCAAUCUUCGAGCGAGACUGGGCGGUGCAACCGCCCCUGAUAGGAGGUGGCACCGCCUGAGCUCGGUCUUCGAGCUCUGGCAGGAGGUGCAACCGCCCCUGACAGGAGGUGGCACCUCCCAAAGGCUCAGUCUUCGAGCUCUGCCAGGCGGUGCAACCGCCUCAGUCAGGAGGUGCAACCACCAGAUCCCGGAAUUCCGGGAAUUGACAGUUUUGAGCUCGAAAUUCAAACUGGAUUGGGGCCUAUAAAUACCCCACCCUUUCAACACUGAAAGAGCACCAAAAACACACCGAAAUCCUGAUCGUAUUCUGUGAUUUUUAGAGCUCAAAAUUGUUUUAAAGGCCAAAAGUUUUUCUCCCUCUUUUCUUCCAAGUUCUGAUCUUUAAAGAGAGGAGAGAAAAUUCUGUAAGGGUUGUCUCUUAAGCCCGUCAAAAGGAGUGAAACUGUAAAAGGGUAGUUGGCCUUCGCCUAUUGAAGGAAGGCCUCUAGUAGACGUCGGUGACCUCGUCGGUGGAGGAAGCCAAAAUUGGAUGUAGGUCAAGAUUGACCGAACCACUCUAAAUCUCGGUUUGCAUUUACUUUGAGCAUCUUAUCCGUACUGCAAACCUCCUCAAUAGCUUACUGCCUUCUGCACAUUUACGAUCGUGUUUUAAAGUUCAGUAUUUUCCGAAUCGGCGUUUAGACGUAAAUCGCUUUUAUCGUACGAACACCUUUUUAAUCGUCGAAAGUUUUCCGCUGCACUAAUUCACCCCCCCCUCUUAGUGCUCUUGAUCCUAACAAUUGGUAUCAGAGCGGGGUUAACUCUCAAACGGAUUAAAACCCAAGAGAGAUGGCAUACGCCGGAAACCAAGAGGGCCAUUCUAUUACACGUCCACCCAUGUUCAAUGGGACGGACUACACCUAUUGGAAGACCCGAAUGAGGAUCUUUCUUAUUUCUAUGGAUUUUGAACUUUGGAAUCUUGUCGAAAAUGGAUUUUCAUAGUCUUCUCUUCCAAUGAUCGAUUGGAAUGAAUUGGAGAAGAAGACUUUCGCUCUUAAUGCAAAGGCUAUGAAUGCCUUAUUUUGUGCGCUUGAUAAAAACGAGUUCAACCGUGUUUCGGUUUGUGAAACCGCAUUUGAUAUUUGACACACACUCGAAGUGACUCACGAAGGCACAAGUAGAGUGAAAGAGUCAAAAAUCAAUCUUUUGAUACAUUCUUUCGAACUUUUCCGGAUGAAACUGAGUGAGACUAUUGGCGACAUGUUUACCCGUUUCACGGAUAUCAUCAACGGUCUAAAAGGACUCGGAAAAAGUUUUUCGGAUUUUGAGCUCGUAAAUAAGAUUCUAAGAUCCCUUCCUAAGAGUUGGGAUCCUAAAGUCACUGCUAUUCAAGAGGCGAAAGAUCUAAACAACUUCCCUCUUGAAGAACUAAUCGGGUCAUUAAUGACCUACGAGAUGACUUGCAAAGCUCAUGAAGAGCAAGAAGACAUCCUUCCAAAGAACAGGAAGGAUAUGACACUUAGAACUUCAGAAGACCACUUGAGAGAAAACUCAAGUGAUGAGGACUGUGACGAUGACUUGGCACUUCUAACAAGAAAAUUUAAAAAAUUCAUUAAAAGAAACAAGUUUAAGAAUGAAACAAAAAAUAAAUUUGAACCCAAGAAGGACCAAGUUAUUUGCUAUGAGUGCAAAAUGCCGGGACACUACAAGAGUGAUUGUCCUCAAGUCAAAAAUAGAACAUCAAAGAAGAAGGCGCUCAAAGCAACGUGGGAUGACUCGAUCACUCGAGCGCGUCCGAAAAAGAGGAGUCCAACACCGAGCAAGUUGCUCAUUACGCCUUAAUGGCCAUCGGGGAGGAGGUAACGAAUUUAAUAGAUGCAAAUUUAUCAUUUGACGAAUUAUUAAAUGUCUUCCAUGACUUAUUUGAUGAAUGCAAGAUUAUUAGUAGAAAAUACAAAUUGCUAAAAAAGGAGCAUGAUAGUCUUACUUGUAAUUUUGACAAGUUAAAAACUGAAUAUCAUGAUAGUUUAGGUUCAUGCAUAAAAUGCCAUGAUCUAGAAACUCUCCAAAAGGAAAACUUGCUACUUAAAGACACCUUGAAGAAAUUCGAGGUUAGUAGCAAGUCUUUGAACAUGAUCCUUGCAAACAAGGGUCACGUUCCCAAAAGAAGUGGAAUCAGAUUUGUGAGAAGUCCUCACCAAAAUCCAACCACCUUCAUAAAAGGCCCCAUCUUACAUGUUCGACACCAAAGCAAAUGCAACUUUUGUUGCAAACUUGGACACAAAAUGUAUUAUUGUCCAUUCAAGAAAAUUAGUCCGAACAAAUUAAUUUGGGUUCCUAAAGGAACCAUGAUAAAUUCUAUGCAACAUGAUAAACAAUGUAGAUCUAUUUUUGAGGCACCCAAAAGCAAAUGGGUACCUAAAGAUCAUCCUUUCUUGUAGAAACCUAUACCAUCGCAAGCUAGGAGCAAGAGAUGGUACCUUGAUAGUGGAUGCUUAAGGCAUAUGACCGGAGAUCCAUCUCAAUUCUCUAAGCUCACUAGCAUAGACGAAGGCUAUGUCACCUUCGGAGACAACAAGGGUAAAAUCAUUGGCAAAAGAACCAUAGGUAACAAAUCCAACUUCUUUAUUGAAGAUGUUUUGUUAGUUGAUGGUUUAAAACAUAACCUAUUGAGCAUUAGUCAAUUAUGUGAUAAAGGAUAUAUUGUCAGAUUCGAAUCUAAUGCUUGUAUCAUUGAAAAACCACACAAAAACACGUCUAUGAUUGCAUUAAAACAAAAUAACGUAUACACUAUUGACAUCAAUGAUUUGUGUAAUGAAAUGUGUUUUUUGGUUUUGAAUGAGGAUGCUUGGCUAUGGCAUAGAAGAUUAGGUCAUGCUAGCAUGAAACUAAUCACUCAAAUAUCAUCUAAAGAACUUGUAAGAGGAAUUCCUCAUAUCAAGUUCAUCAAAGAUAAUGUAUGUGAUGCUUGCCAAUUAGGUAAACAAAUUAAGGGUAGUUUCAAAUCUAAGAAUCAAAUAAGCACCUCUAGGCCCUUACAAUUGAUCCAUAUGGACUUGUUCGGACCAAUCUCUACAUCAAGCCUAGGAGGUAGCAAAUACGCCUUCGUCAUUGUGGAUGACUAUAGCAGAUACAUAUGGACUUACUUCUUAAAACAGAAAAAUGAAUGCUUUAGAUAUUUUACCAAGUUUUGUAAACUUGUUCAAAAUGAGAAGGGUUCUAUGAUUUCGUCAAUUAGAAGUGAUCACGGUGGUGAAUUUCAAAACCAUGAUUUCCAAGAAUUUUGUGAACUCAAUGGAUACAACCAUAAUUUCUCUACUCCUAGAAAUCCUCAACAAAAUGGAGUAGUAGAAAGAAAAAAUCGAAAUUUACAAGAAAUGACAAGAACCAUGUUGAAUGAACAUAGCCUACCCAAAUAUUUUUGGGCCGAAGCCGUAAACACUGCAUGCUAUAUUUUGAAUAUAGUUCUAGUAAGACCCUUACUCACCAAAACUCCCUAUGAGUUAUGGAACAACAAAAAAUCCAAUGUUUCAUAUUUUAAAGUCUUUGGGUGUAAGUGUUUUAUCAUUAAUGAAAAAGAUAACUUAGGAAAAUUUGAUGCUAAAUCCGAUGAAGGAAUCUUUCUUGGUUAUUCUUCGGUUUCUAAAGCUUUUUGUAUCUUCAAUAAAAGAACUUUAAUUAUUGAAGAAUCCAUUCAUGUUGUUUUCAAUGAGAUUUCCGAAAUCAGGAAAAACGAUUUUGAUGAUGAUGUUAAUUUUGAUUCCUUGAAUUUAAAUGAAACCCCGUCUCCAACUAGCAACUUGGAUGCAUCUACUUCCGAAACAUCCUUACCCAAGGAUUGGAAGUAUGUAGAUGCUCAUCCUAAGGAGCUAAUCUUAGGAGACACAUCAAAGGGGGUUCAAACACGUUCUUCUCUUAAAAAUUUUGGUGCCAACGUCGCUUUUCUCUCCCAAAUUGAACCCAAAUGUGUUGACGAAGCCAUGAAAGAUGAUUCAUGGAUUAUCGCAAUGCAAGAUGAAUUAAAUCAAUUUGAGAGAAAUGAGGUGUGAAAGCUUGUUCCUAGGCCAACUGACCAUUUAGUUAUUGGUACUAAAUGGGUUUUUAGAAACAAGCAAGAUGAAUAUAGUAUCGUGGUUAGAAACAAGGCUAGAUUAGUGGCCAAAGGCUUCAACCAAGAAGAAGGUAUCGAUUACGAAGAAACCUUCGCUCCUAUGGCUCGAUUAGAAGCCAUAAGGAUGCUCCUUGCCUACGCUAAUAGUAAUAAUUUUAAGUUGUUUCAAAUGGAUGUUAAAAGCGCUUUUCUUAAUGGCUUUAUUUCCGAAGAAGUCUAUGUUGAACAACCUUCUGGAUUUGAAAAUAAUAGCCUCCCUAAUCAUGUGUUUAGAUUAACUAAAGCUCUCUAUGGUUUAAAACAAGCUUCGAGGGCUUGGUAUGAGAGACUUAGUUCUUUUCUUAUUGAAAAUAAUUUCACAAAAGGCAAAGUUGAUACUACAUUGUUCAUCAAGAAUUUUGAAAAUAAUUUUCUCAUUGUUCAGAUUUAUGUUGAUGAUAUUAUCUUUGGUUCUACGAAUGAAUCUCUUUGUGAAUAUUUUGCUAAAACUAUGAGUCUUGAAUUCGAAAUGAGUUUAAUGGGAGAAUUAACAUUCUUCUUAGGCUUACAAAUCAAACAACUAAGCAAUGACAUCUUUAUUAGUCAAACUAAAUAUGCUAUGAAUUUGCUAGAAAGGUUUAAUAUGAAUAGCUCAAAAGCUAUUAACACUCUUAUGAGCACCUCCACUAAGUUAGAAAUUGAUGAAAGUGGAGAAAGCUUCGAUCAAAAAACUUAUAGGGGCAUCAUAGGAAGUUUACUUUACCUCACUGCAACUAGACCAGAUAUCAUGUUCAGUGUAGGACUUUGUGCUAGAUUUCAAUCAAACCCUAAGAUAUCUCAUCUCAAAGCAGUUAAAAGAAUACUUAGAUAUCUUAAUGGUACCACAAAUCUAGGAUUAUGGUACCCAAAAUCAGAGAAUCUUGAGUUAAUUGCUUAUGCUGAUGCGGACUUUGCCGGCUGUAGACUAGAUAGAAAAAGCACGUCAGGAACAUGUCAAUUUUUAGGACAUGCCCUUGUUUCCUGGUCAUCUAAGAAACAAAACUCGGUUGCACUAUCAACAACCGAAGCUGAAUAUAUUGCAGCAAGUGCAUGCUGUGCACAAGUUGUAUGGAUGAAAAACAUCUUAGAAGAUUAUAAAGUUCAUCUUAAAAAUAUUCCCAUUAAAUGUGAUAACACAAGUGCAACAUGCUUAACAAAGAAUCCUAUACAACACUCAAGAACAAAACAUAUUGAUAUUAGACAUCACUUUAUACGAGAUCAUGUUACUAAUCAUGAUGUGAUUAUAGAGUUCAUUGAUACUAAACAUCAACUAGCUGAUAUUUUUACAAAACCUCUAAGUGAAGAACAAUUUGAUUUCAUAAGAAGAGAAUUAGGAAUGUUGAUGUGUCCGAAUACAUAAACUAGUUAAAAUUAUUUUUCGGACUUUAUUGAAUGAUCAAAUCACUUAAUUACCAUUACAUGCCUAAAUAACAUGUUGGAAAUUAUGUGUUGAAUACAAAAAUUUCCAUAACAAUAAGCAUGUUUUGUCUUCAUGAUUGUAUUUGAAAAUCUAUAGCAUAGUCUUGUCCGACUGCAUGAAAGUGUUAAUUUCAUUUUCGGAUUCGUUUAACAAUUGGUAUCCUAACAAUCGGAUUUUCUCAUACACUUAUUAUAUGAAAAAUAUUUUUCUGAAAUGGAUUUGAUGAAAUGAUUCCUACUUAUAAAUUCCAUAUUGAAAUAUGGAUGAUAGUGUUUUUACUUGCAAAGAUUUGUUUCACAUACAUAUCUUGAUCCUUGUAAAAAUGAAGCAUAAUUUAAUCUCUCAUCGAUUUUAACUUCACUCAAAGUAAACUCACAAAUAGCCUACCUCCUUCAUGCAAAAAGAUUAUAACAAAUAAAAAGGAAGAAGUAUUCAAAGCGAUCUACAUAUCAUGCUUUCCUUUAUAUGCUUGUAUAAUUGAUUUCCUAUCACUCAUUAUUGGAAAAUAACAUGAACCUAGUAAAGGCAUGAACAAUUAUCACACUUAUGCUCAAAAUUUUCUUAUAUUAUUCUCCUGGUAUCACAAUUACCACACUUUUUGUUGAUGACAAAGGGGGAGAAAUAUAUGAGUAUUAAUGCUAUGCUAUGCCUUGUUUGUAUCGUGUCAAGAUAUCAAACAAAAAACUUGCAUCGUAAUUUUACGUAUUGAUAUCUUACCAUGUGAUGAAAUGCAAUAAUUGCUAAAACAUUUGAAAUGUGUGCAUCAUGUAAUGAUAUCAAAAUCUUACUUCGUAGUUUUACAUGUUGACAUCUUACAAUAUGAUGAAUUGCUACUAUUACUAUCAUUCAAACUUGUAAUGUAAAAUUUGAAAAUGAAUGUCAAGCCUUGACAUCAUCUUCAGAGAGAAACAUCAUGAUGGGAAUCAUGAUGGGAGUAUUGAUAAGUUUAAAUGAUUUUAACUUAUCAAUAUGUCUCUUGAAUUCAAAGGUUUUGAAUUCAAGAAUGACUUAUCUCAAGUAUGACAUAUAGACAGGGGGAACUCCAUUAUCAAUUGAUUGUCAUCAUAAAAAAGGGGGAGAUUGUUGAAUCUCGGAUUUUGAUGAUGAAGUCAAUUGUCAUUUGUUAUCUAAUCUAUAUGUUGAGAUAAGUGUGCAGGAUUAACUACGAUGAAAGUAAGAUAUGCAGCAGGAGUUGCGUCGGAAUCAAGACAAUGAUCACGUUGGGAGUUCGAGAGUUCGACGGAAGUUCGGACAAUCGUCGGAGGUUCUGCGGGAACAAAUUCGAGAAGUCCAUGAGCUUGCCAAAGAAGCUCGUCGGAACUCGCCAAGUGGAUCGUCGCAAGUCCAGGAGUUUGUUGGAAGUCCGCAGGAGCAUCACCGAGGGUUCAUCGGAUGAUCGACGGAAGUUCACCGGAAGCUCGCCGGAAGAAGCGAUUGACGCACCGGAGCAAGUUGUAGUAAAUGUCUUAGGAAAUAUUAUAGUUAGCACAAUGAUUAAGAUGGAAAUGGGAGGUGAUCCCAUUAACUUAAUCUUGGGGCAAUUGGGCCCCUGAAAAACCCAAAUUGGGCCGAAUGAUCAACCCAUUCGGACCCUGAUUUCUGCCAAGCGGUUGAACCGCCCCAGCCAGGCGAUGGCACCGCUUGGGCUCAGUCUCCGAGCGAGACUGGGCGGUUGCCAACCGCCCCUGACAGGAGGUGGCACCGCCUGAGCUUGGUCUUCGAGCUCUGGCAGGAGGUGCAACCGCCUCAGUCAGGCGGUGGCACCGCCUCAGUCAGGCGGUGGCACCGCCUGAGCUCGUUCUUCGAGCUUUGGCAGGAGGUGCAACCGCCCCUGACAGGAGGUGGCACCGCCCAGAGGCUCAGUCUUCGAGCUCUACCAGGCGGUGCAACCGCCUCAGUCAGGAGGUGCAACCGCCAGAUCCCGGAAUUCCGGGAAUUGACAGUUUUGAUCUCGAAAUUCAAACUGGGUUGGGGCCUAUAAAUACCCCACCCUUUCAGCACUGAAAGAGCACCAAAAACACACCGAAAUCUUGAUCUUAUUUUGUGAUUUUUAGAGCUCAAAAUUGUUGUAAAAGCCAAAAGUUCUUCUCCCUCUUUUCUUCCAAGUUUUGAUCUUUAAAGAGAGGAGAGAAAAUUCUGUAAGGGUUGUCUCCUAAGCCCGUCAAAAGGAGUGAAACUGUAAAAGGGUGGUUGGCCUUCGCCUAUUGAAGGAAGGCCUCUAGUAGACGUCGGUGACCUCGUCGGUGGAGGAAGCCAAAAGUGGAUGUAGGUCAAGAUUGACCGAACCACUCUAAAUCUCGGUUUGCAUUUACUUUGAGCAUCUUAUCCUUACUGUAAACCUCCUCAAUAGCUUACUGCCUUCUGCACAUUUACGAUCGUGUUUUAAAGUUCAGUAUUUUCCGAAUCGGCGUUUAGACGUAAAUCAGUUUUAUCGUACGAACAUUAUAUUUCAGUUUGCGCUUACAUUUUAACUUUCAUCAUAACUGCAAACUGCCUUCAUAGAUUUCCUUUAACUACAUCUCGCUUGAUUACAAGUUAAAGAGAUUUACGAAUCGGCUUUUCUACCGAAAUCGCUUUUAUCGUACGAACAUUUUUUUAAUCAUCGAAAGUUUUCCACUACACUAAUUCACCCCCCCCCCCCUCUUAGUGCUCUUGAUCCUAACAAAAACAGCUACGAUGACCCUUUCUUGCUCGAGCAGGAUGAGGUGGUCUGUUGGCCGGGAAACAGUGGCGGCGUUGGCGUGGGGUUCGCCGAGGGCUAGGAUCAACGAGGGGGUGGUCCGUUGGGCGGGAAGCAGUGGCGGCUGUGGUCGCUGGCCAGCGAGCAGUCGACUCUGUUUCGCUAGCCGAGCUUCUUUCUUGCUCGAGAAGGAUGUAGCUGCAGAAUUUUUUCUUUUUGAUGAUGAUAUCUGCAGCGAGAACACCGAGGAUCACUGCUCUGAUACCAAAUGAUAAGACCCUAGGGUUUUAUCAUGGAAGAAAGGGGAGAAAAGGGGAUGAUCACUUCGAGGGGAUCAACUUCCUUGAUCACUUCGAGGGGAUCGGUCUCCUAGGGUUUGUCAAAAGACUGAAUAAUAUUUCAUUGUUUGCUGAAAAGAAAUAGUUACAUCUCUAUUUAUAGAGUUCCACCCAGAGUCCAUCAGGACAUGGGCUCUUAAUAAUAAAUAAAUAUUAAAUAAAUUUCUAUUCGACUCUUAUCGAACUAAAUGAACUCAACAAAAUAUUAUUCAAAAACUUAAAAAAAAAGAGAUUCUAACAUCAUACUUCUAUGCAGGAACACCCGGAAUGGGAAAUCAAGAAUGGUUGUGUGUUCUUUCAAAAGGCAAAAGAAUCUCAACCUUGCAAAGAAAUACCCGCGCUGCAACUGAUCAACCAGACAUUGAGUUAUGCCAGAGAGUUGGAGCGCAUCGUUUAAAUGAAGUCCGUGGUGGCAAUUUAUAGCGUCCUAAAACACUCCAGCUUUAGUCGCAUGGCUUCUUCAACCACAGACAUUUUUGCUACGUUGUUUCUUCCAUUUGAGCCAACGUUGCUUCGCAUCAUCUCUGGCAAUUGAAAAAGGAGAUCAGCAUUUGUGCGUUAUCCGGGAGUGUAUGCAGGAAGUUUCACAUGCAAGCCUUGGACUAUAGUUUAUGUUUAUGUGCAAUUUGUUGAUUGGCACAUGUUGUCCAUGCGAAGUUCUCCACUCGGAUUUCCUACAAAUCAAAAUCCACUCUUUUCA